GCUUUCCCAGCAGCAACUUCUGUUUUAGUUCCUGAUUUACAGCAUCCGCAGUUCUUGCGGUUUUUAGUAAGUAUGUUUAAUUGUGUAGCUAUCUAUUAUAUCAGAAAACUACCGUGUUGUGUUACAAUUGGUUUAUGGAAUAUUUAGAACACUGGUAAAGAAUCUCAACCAGAAAGGUUGAGAAUCCCGGUUUAAGCCAUUUGCUUUUAGGAACAGGAAACCAGGGAUAUUGAUAUCAUCAGAUGCCUACUUCUGUACAGUACUUACAAAAAAAAUUCUGAGGGGAUGUUAACUUUUCUAAGAAACUGCAAGGAUGGUGUAUAGGUUGGCAGGAUAAUUUCUACAAGAGAUGAAGGUAGACUGAUAGAUAUAGAGAGAUGUAAGCAGUGCCUUUCUUCAUUCUAAUUUGCUUCUAAAUAAAAUUUGGGAUUUUGAAAGCAAGUUAGUUCUUUGUCUUGGAGGGAAAUGGAUAGGGAAGGUCUUUUACUACCUAAAGUAAACAUGUGAAAGUGAAAAAGUAUUGGAUGGAAAGUUCUAGGUGACAUGACGUAUGGUGAGCUGAGUAAAAGGAAGGAUUGAAUAGGCAUAACAAUAGAAGAGCAUAGUGAAAUGGUCAAGGGUAAAGAAUGUAAUGGAAGGGUGAAGGUGGAGGUAAUAGUGAGCCAGAUGGGGAAUUACUGAGCCACAAUAUUUUUAGGAUUCUGCACCCUUUCCAUACUAACCACCAGUCGCACCAGUCGAAAUUAAGUUUUUUUUUCUCUGCCUCUUUUUCUGUUAAACUAAGAUAUGCCGAGCAUCACUCUACCCGUGAAGUAACAACUAAGAUACACGGGGAAGAAAGCUCAGGACCACUCGCAGUACCAGAACUUGGAAAAUAAACACCUCAAGAUCUCCGUUUGAAGUUUGUCAAAUUCACCUGGAGGAGCAAAGACAGUUUCAGAAGCUGCUUAACAUCAUUUAAUUUGUACAAUUAUGGUCCAGAAAAUGCUACCUAAAAUAUUUGGUGGAGAUGCCAGAAAGUCUCCAGCAACAAAUAUUUGGCUUCCUUUCUCUGCAGACCCCUGCUGAAGGAGGAGUAAAAUGCCCUCAGUGACAUUGAGGGGACAACUUCUAACCCGCAAAUGAAACACUUAACAUUAGUGUGCAAAAGAACCUGGUGCCAGCAAUAAAAAAAAAUUUAGAGGAAACCUAAGAAAACAAUUAAUAAAAUCUUGUGGUCCAGACUGAUGUUAUUGAACUGUGUUUCCCAGGUUUUAUUUGCAUGUUUAAUAUUUGUGUCUUGUCUUUUCCUUGUGGGUGUGACUAUUUGUGAAUGGUAGAAUUUAAGAAGGAUAGAGUUUAAGUUAUAGAAUUCUAAGACACCAAUUGGAUAUAGAACUGGCUCAAAGUUAGGAGCCAGAGUGUGGUAGAUGGUUGCUUUUCAGA